CCAUGUCAGAUUUGCUCUAAAUGCAUUGGUUUUAGAGUUAUAAGCCAAAAUCUACAUUUUACCCCUAUGUUCUAUUUUUAGCCAUGGCGGCCAUCUUGGUUGGUUGGCAGGGUCACGCCACACAUUUUUUAAAUGAGAUACCCCAAUGAUGAUGGUGGCCAAGUUUGGAUUAAUUUGGCCCAGUAGCUUCAGAGGAGAAGAUUUUU
rnacentral:lncRNA from 1 species